CAAUAAUGCUAGACAAAAAUUUGAAAUCCUUCCCUGUUCUCUCUCUUCCAUUAUUACCGUCUUCCCCAACAUUGCGUCUUCCCCAAACUCUUCAUAUUUCCCCACAUUUUACUACUAACGUUAGAAUCGAAGCCUUCACGAAGCACGAGCGUCCAGUCUCAGCACCUCCGGGAUCAUUCUUUUUCUUUCAUUUUCCUUUCCUUUCCUUUUUCUUUUUCAUCUAUAGUCCUUUUUGUUUCUUCCCCACAUUUUACUUUCUUCCCUAGGUUUCCACCAACAAAUUGUUCUUCGUAUGUACUCUGCUCUGAUCCACCAACAAAUUACCAUCCCGCCGCCUUCAAUCAUCCGUCGAGCCCACUAAACUAACGAAGAAAGUUAGAUCCAUUGAACGUUUGGAGGUAUGGUUUAUCGAUCUUUAUUUGUUGGGUUUUAAAAUUUUUGGUGCUUUUCCAUGUGGAUUAUGCUGUGGGUUUGAGUUUUGACUUAGCAUGUAUUAGUAAUUUGGAGCUGUCCAGAGUGAAUUAAAAAGGGCUUGAAAUGGAUUGUUGUUUGGCAUGUGCUUAUUGACAAUUUCAUUCUUUGGCUUAUCCUGUAUGAAUUAGAAAUGGAUUGUUGUUUUGCGUGUGAGUUCAUUAUUUCACAUGUAAAACGAUACUGUUUUGCUUUUAAUAUGUGAAACCUUUUUAAUGCAAUUUCCAUUUGAUUCUUGAAUAAUGUUACUUAGCUAAUUAUAUACUUAAAUAAUAUUGCUUGGUGUUGAUUAGAACUUGAAAGAUAUUACUUGGCUAAUUAGAUGCUUUUCCACUUAACACUCUUCCAAUCCUUGUUCUUGAAAGUUUCAAUUAGGAUACAGUCUGGGAAAGUUUAUUGUUUAUCGCUAAAAUUAUCAUAGUCACGUUGCACAUUUGUGAAUUAUAAAAUUGUUUGUUGAUGAGGUUCUUAAUACACAUUCUUUUAAAUUUGUGAUUUCUAUCUUCAAAAAGAUCUCUAUUUGUGGGUGGUUGCAUUUUGUCAGAAUUAGAUGAAUAACUUUUUCUCAAAUGGUUUUCUCUGGAAUGGACAAGUUUACUUGCAUGUGUUUCUGAAAUAAUCUUCAAACAUUCAAGAAUCAAGAAACCUCUCUGUGACAAAACCUCAGAUUCAGUUCCAUGAGUAUGGCAACGAUUCAAGCAUAUAGGAAUCAUUUUUUUUAUAUUGCUUAAACUCCAGAGUUUGUCAUGGUUGCAGGGGUUGUGGACACUUCUUUGGCUAAACCAGUGGUGCACACAGAAGUUGACGAAAUGUCUCGAACUUUCGAAUCUCAAGUGUGGCUUAAUAACGACGAAGAACUGCUGAUCUCUGUGAAUGUGAACGUGACCGUCCGCCGUGGAAAAUCACCUACUGAAUGAGAAACGUAGGGGAAGGACACGACAUAGUAUACUCGAUUAAUUCUAUCUUUUUUGUUGAUGUUGAUGUAGUUUGAGAAGUAGGUGGAUGUUGUAAUUCUCACUUUGAUGUAAUUGAACAUGCGUUAUUUUUGUUGGUAUGCCAAUGGUUGAUGAUUGUUUGAAACAUUUUGAUCUCCUUUCAUAGUCCAGGAAUCCACUUCAUAAUUCAUAUUUAUGGGCA
rnacentral:lncRNA from 1 species